rnacentral:rRNA from 1 species
CAACCUGCCUUUCAGAGGGGGAGUAACAUUUGGAAACAGAUGCUAAUACCGCAUAAGAUUACAGUACCGCAUGAUACAGUGAUCAAAGGAGCAAUCCGCUGAAAGAUGGGCUCGCGUCCGAUUAGAUAGUUGGUGAGGUAACGGCUCACCAAGUCGACGAUCGGUAGCCGGACUGAGAGGUUGAACGGCCACAUUGGGACUGAGACACGGCCCAG